rnacentral:rRNA from 1 species
GACGAACGCUGGCGGCGUGCUUAACACAUGCAAGUCGAACGGCAAGGCCCUGCUUUUGUGGGGUGCCCGAGUGGCGAACGGGGGAGUAACACGUGAGUAACCUGCCCUUGACUUUGGGAUAACUUCAGGAAACUGGGGCUACUACCGGAUCGGAGCCCCUGUUGCAUGGUGGGGGUUGGAACGUUUCGGCGGUUGGGGAUGGACUCGCGGCUUAUCAGCUUGUUGGUGGGGUAGUGGCUUACCAAGGCUUUGACGGGUAGCCGGCCUGUGAGGGUGACCGGCCACAUUGGGACUGAGAUACGGCCCAGACUCCUACGGGGGGCAGCAGUGGGGAAUAUUGCACAAUGGGCGGAAGCCUGAUGCAGCAACGCCGCGUGCGGGAUGACGGCCUUCGGGUUGUAAACCGCUUUCGCCUGUGACGAAGCGUGAGUGACGGUAAUGGGUAAAGAAGCACCGGCUAACUACGUG